rnacentral:lncRNA from 12 species
CAGAAAGGACCGGUCUGCUGAGGAAGGUCGGGGGCUGGGGUGGACAUUCUGGAUCCAGGGUAUCCCUGGAUCCAAGGAGAUCCCAGUGCUGAGGAGACCCCGGGACUGAGGAAACCUCAAACCCGAGGAGAAGAUCUCACUGCUGAGGAGACCCUGGAUCCAAAGAGACACUAAAUCCGAGAAGAUUCCAGAUCCAAAGAGAUUCUUGAUCCAAGAAAUUUCCAGAGACAAGAACAAGAUUCCAGAACCGAGAAGAUUCCGAAUCCAAGGAGACCCCAGAGCUGCGGAAAUUCUGUCUCCAAGGACAACAUCCUGGAGCUGAGGAAAUCCCAAAUUGGAGGAGCAAAUUCUGGCCCUGUAGAGCAGCCAAUCCCGUGCCAGGAUGUGGGAAUUCUUGGAGCGGACUGUGGAGAUCCAGAUAUCUAACACCACCCAGAAUGUCACCUUGGAGAACCCCAGGACCUACUUCUACAGCGGGCACAGCUCCAUCCCCCCCAGCCCUUCUGUGCCCCCCGGCUCCUCUGACACCUGCCAGUUCUCCAGCCCCCCAUUUCGCGGCUGUGUGGGAGUCCUG